GAAAUGCGAUAAGUAAUGUGAAUUGCAGAAUUCAGUGAAUCACCGAAUCUUUGAACGCACAUUGCGCCCGCCAGUAUUCUGGCGGGCAUGCCUGUUCGAGCGUCAUUUCAACCAUCAAGCCCCCGGGUUUGGUGUUGGGGAUCGGGCUGCGGUUCUACCGCGUCCCGGCCCCGAAAUCUAGUGGCGGUCUCGCUGCAGCCUCCAUUGCGUAGUAGCUAACACCUCGCAACUGGAACGCGGCGCGGCCAAGCCGUUAAACCCCCAACUUCUGAAUGUUGACCUCGGAUCAGGUAGGAAUACCCGCUGAACUUAAGC
rnacentral:misc_RNA from 1 species